rnacentral:rRNA from 1 species
AGCGAACGCUGGCGGCAGGCUUAACACAUGCAAGUCGAGCGGAUGUAGCAAUACAUCAGCGGCAGANGGGUGAGUAACACGUGGGAACGUACCUUUUGGUUCGGAACAACACAGGGAAACUUGUGCUAAUACCGGAUAAGCCCUUACGGGGAAAGAUUUAUCGCCGAAAGAUCGGCCCGCGUCUGAUUAGCUAGUUGGUGAGGUAACGGCUCACCAAGGCGACGAUCAGUAGCUGGUSUGAGAGGAUGAUCAGCCRCAUUGGGACUGAGACACGGCCCAAACUCCUACGGGAGGCAGCAGUGGGGAAUAUUGGACAAUGGGCGCAAGCCUGAUCCAGCCAUGCCGCGUGAGUGAUGAAGGCCCUAGGGUUGUAAAGCUCUUUUGUGCGGGAAGAUAAUGACGGUACCGCA